rnacentral:lncRNA from 1 species
CCUGUAACCCCAGCUACUCAGGAGGCUGAGGCAGGAGAAUUGCUUGAACCCACGAGGUGGAAGUUGCAGGGAGCCGAGAUCAUGCCACUGUACUCCAGCCUGGGCGACAAGAGUGAACAAAACUCCAUCUCAAAAAAAAAAAAAAAAAGAAAUUUUUGUUUUGUUUUGUUUUGUUUGUUUGAGAUGGAGCCUUGCUCUGUCGCCAGGCUGGAGUGCCGUGGUCCGAUCUUGGCUCCCUGCAACCUCCCCCUCCCGGGUUCAAGCGAUUCUCCUGCCUCAGCCUCCCGAGUAGCACAAGCACGUGCCACCACGCUCAGCUAAUUUUUGUAUUUUUAGUAGAGACGGGGUUUCACCAUGUUGGCCAGGCUGGUCUCUAUCUCUUGACCUCGUGAUCUGCCUGCCUCAGCCUGCCAAAGUGCUGGGAUUACAGGCAUGAGUCACCCCACACCCAGCCGAAAUUUGGUAAACUCAAUCAAGUUUAUUUAUUUAUUUAUUUAUUUUUUUAAUGGGUCGCGCUUUUGGUGUCUUAUUUUCCUAACCCAAAACGAAAAAGACUUUCUCCUCUGUUUUCUUCUGCACAUGUUAUAGAGAUCGCACUUACAUUUGGGUCUCUGAUCCACUUUGAGUUAAUUUUGGUGCAGGGUUUUCCAUUCACGGAACAUGAAGUUGGAUUUCUAAUAGGUCAAUAUAUGAAAAAUUUCCCGCAAAGUUUUUCUUUUCUUUUCUUUUUUUUUUUUUUUUUUGAGACUGUCACCCAGGCUGGAGUACAGUGGUGCAAUCACAGCUCACUGCAGCCUUGACGUCCCAGGCUCUAGAGAUCCUCCCACCUCAGCCUUCCAAGUAGCUGAGACCACAGGUGUGCACCACCACGCUUGCCUGAUUUUAUAUUUUUUGUACAGACGGGGUCCCACUGUGUUGGCCAGGCUCGUCUCGCACUCCUGGGCUUGAGUGAUCCUUCCACCUCGGUGUCCCAAAGUGCUGGGAUGAUAAGCAUGAGCCACUGCACUCGGCCAGUUUCUAGUUUGGAUAUUUGAGUGGACUUCCCAGCCCCCACACAGCAUGCUCAUUUCGUGUAAGAUUGUGAGAGAGUGCGAGGAGAGAAAGAGCAUGCAGCCAGCGUUGGAGCUUCGGAGACAUCCCGGGCAGGAGCUUCCCAGGGUCUCAUUUGUUCUGUCUCAUGGUUGGCACACGAAGGACAGUGAGAGGAAUCUUGGUUUCAGGGGGCCUCAAACCAGACAUUUGAGGAGGUAGGGGAGGCGGUUGCCACUCCGCUCAUUCAGUGCAUCCAGGCUGUCUAACUGGUUAGGCCACUUGCAAAUGUGCAAACCUUAAGUAAAGAAACAGACUCUGGGGUCAGGGGGGAGGUUUGAACUGUAACUAGCGCGUCAUAAAUCCCAGCCCUUAUCUUGAACAAGAGUCAAAGACCGGACUUGAAGGCAUCCCCCAAGAUAAAGGUCUCUGCAUAUUCCCUCAGCUCACAGACCGGCUGCAUACUUGGUAUUUUCAGGGUUAGGUUUGCAACACAUGACUGGGGAAAUGCAUGAAAAGGAAAUGAUGCAAGAAUUCACCGCGGACACCUUUAGGUGAGAAGGAGAUGUGACAAAAAGUCUCUGCCUGGCCAAACCGUAGCCAGGCUCCUGAAGCCCCUCCCAGGCCCGGUGGUGCGUUUCCUUAUAGAAUUAGAUUUCAGCAAAGUACCGGCUAAGUCAGUUUGGCGAGAAGCCACCAUUCUUGAUAUCAUGUUCCUCGUCGUCCACCACCCCUGGUUGAUGUUUAACCCCCUUGGCUGGCUUUAACAAGCCAGGUUGGUUUAGCCAGGACCCGCUUCACCUCUGAUGUUUCCUUUUAGUGCUUUGCCAUCUGUACACCCGCUGCCUGCCCCCGUGGCUGUACAUUCCCACUUGCCCUUGCUGUGUUCAUAUUGGAAGCUGAGCCCAGCCUCUCCUGCACUGUGAACCGCCAUUGCAGUGGUCCCUGUACUUCACACGAUAAGCCUGGAUAAUGUCUUCGUUAUCUUUUUGGUGAUGCUUUCCCAAGUACGAGGUUCGUGCAAAAGUAAUAACUGCAAUUACCAACCUAGUAUCACUGAAUAGUUUUUUCUUUAACAAAGGUUUUGCUCCCGGACGAAUGAACGAGUGCUGGCUGCUUGUUCUUGGGGCUCAACAAUGAGGUGCAGACAGACUGGGGAGAAGGGGAUUUAUUUCUCCAACGGGUUACAGGGAGAAGGUCAGAUUAACUCACCAGGUCAGCUCAAAGUGACAAGUUUUUUCCAGGGUUUCUAUGCAUUUUAAGCUCUAUGCCCACGUGUAGGAUUGCACCUACGAGCGGGAGUAUUUCAUUCGGUUCCUGUCUAAUCUUUAACUAGGGUCUGGGGUCUGGGAAGUUUUCUCUAGACGCUUAAUCUUCAGUGAGCCCUGGUAUGACGUGUUUAACUUGUGCAUCAUCAGAAUUAUAAUAAAGCGUUAGUGGAAAAACUGGUUGCUCCGGCUGCUAAUGGAAGCCUGGCCUGCCACAGUUUGACUCAAAGGGAACCUAACUCUCAAGGAGCCAUAAUCCCAGCACUUUGGGAGGCCAAAGUGGAGGAUUGCUUGUGCCCAGGUGUUGGAGACCAGCCUGGGCGACAUAGGAGACCCCAUCUCUAUACAUAAAAGAAAAAUUAGUCGGGCAUGGUGGCUUGCGUCUCUUGCCUCAGCUACUCUGGAGGUUAAGGCUGGAGGAUCGCUUAAGCCUGGGAGUUGGAGGCUGCAGUGAGCUGUGAUUGUACCACAGCACCCCAGCCUGGGCAACAGAGCGGAACCCUGUCUCCAAAAACAAAACAAAACAAAAUAAAAAA